AGUGAACGCUGGCGGUAGGCCUAACACAUGCAAGUCGAACGGCAGCACAGUAAGAGCUUGCUCUUACGGGUGGCGAGUGGCGGACGGGUGAGGAAUACAUCGGAAUCUACUUUUUCGUGGGGGAUAACGUAGGGAAACUUACGCUAAUACCGCAUACGACCUACGGGUGAAAGCAGGGGAUCUUCGGACCUUGCGCGAUUGAAUGAGCCGAUGUCGGAUUAGCUAGUUGGCGGGGUAAAGGCCCACCAAGGCGACGAUCCGUAGCUGGUCUGAGAGGAUGAUCCGCCACACUGGAACUGAGACACGGUCCAGACUCCUACGGGAGGCAGCAGUGGGGAAUAUUGGACAAUGGGCGAAAGCCUGAUCCAGCCAUACCGCGCGGGUGAAGAAGGCCUUCGGGUUGUAAAGCCCUUUUGUUGGGAAAGAAAAGCAGCAGGUUAAUACCCCGCUGUUCUGACGGUACCCAAAGAAUAAGCACCGGCUAACUUCGUG
rnacentral:rRNA from 1 species